UUUCUAUUUUUCUCUAGACUUAUCUUCUUAUUAUUGUAACUUUUUAUUUAUUUAUAGUAAUGUAAUAUAAUAACUGAAAUGAAUUUCAAUUUUAGCAGAUGGUGAUAUGGUGAUGGUGAUAAAACUGUCAGGGACAUCAAAGUCCUUUUUCGGAGAAAAGAUGACUUAGUCUAAUGGAAAUCCCUUUGAUGCGACAUGUCUUAUGUACUUGACUCAGUUGGAGGUAGAAUAUUAGUAGUAACGACUUUCAUUUACAGUCUUCAAUUUUAUAUAUUGAUGAUUUAACAAAAAACGGGCUAUAGCAACGUGCUGAAAGGCUGUGGAGAAGCAGAUGAGACAUAUAUGUGAUGUGGCAGAGUCAAGAAAGGCAUAAAUGUUGGCUUACACAGACGUGCAUACUUUACAAACACGGGGGGCUUCCCUAGAUGUCACUCUUGAUUUUAUUGGGGAUGCAUUUGCCAAGAGGAGAAGGAGCAGGCGUUCAAAUUUUGACUUCGACAAGCGCCUCUAGAGUCAAAGCAUCAUUGCUCGAGUUAAACUCUUACAAAUGCAAGCUACAAUAUACAAUUAGUAAUUUCAUAGUAUAAUUUUUCUUACGAUUACUAAAAACUUUUUACUACGAUCACGACAAUGGUAUAGUUUAUAAUUAUUGUAUUUUAUGAUUACGACUACGGGUAUACAACUGUAAACAUUGGUUUAUGGAUGUUUGUAUUUAGGUAAUUUUAUGUUACUACGAAAUGAAUUUAAAUGGAAUGUAUUUUUGUAUACGUAUUUUUAAUCGGUUUUGUUAAAAAACUAAAUAAUGGUGUUCGUCAAUUGCUCGAGUUGUAGAACAAAUGUAUGGCACGUUUAUUACUUUUUGAUUUAUUCAACAUACUUCAUUUCAUUAACAAUAAAUCCAUAUUAUGAUGAUUUAAGUUCAUAUAACCCUUUCUCAAUUUAAUUUUGCUAAUAUUUUUGUUACUAUAUAUUAUUUUAUUACUAUUUUUA